GAUGAACGCUGGCGGCGUGCCUAAUACAUGCAAGUCGAGCGAACGGACGAGAAGCUUGCUUUUCUGAUGUUAGCGGCGGACGGGUGAGUAACACGUGGAUAACCUACCUAUAAGACUGGGAUAACUUCGGGAAACCGGAGCUAAUACCGGAUAAUAUUUUGAACCGCAUGGUUCAAAAGUGAAAGACGGUCUUGCUGUCACUUAUAGAUGGAUCCGCGCUGCAUUAGCUAGUUGGUAAGGUAACGGCUUACCAAGGCAACGAUGCAUAGCCGACCUGAGAGGGUGAUCGGCCACACUGGAACUGAGACACGGUCCAGACUCCUACGGGAGGCAGCAGUAGGGAAUCUUCCGGAAUGGGCGAAAGCCUGACGGAGCAACGCCGCGUGAGUGAUGAAGGUCUUCGGAUCGUAAAACUCUGUUAUUAGGGAAGAACAUAUGUGUAAGUAACUGUGCACAUCUUGACGGUACCUAAUCAGAAAGCCACGGCUAACCACGUG
rnacentral:rRNA from 1 species